UCCACGCCGUAAACGAUGGUCAUCUCGGUGAUGCACUUAACAGAUUAAGUGUUCCGCCUGGGGAGUACGGUCGCAAGAUUAAAACUCAAAGGAAUAGACGGGGACCCGCACAAGUGGUGGAGCAUGUGGUUUAAUUCGAAAAUACGCGAAGAACCUUACCUAGCCUUGACAUUGAAGAAACACACUAGAGAUAGAGUGGUGCCCUUCGGGGAAUCUGAAAACAGGUGCUGCACGGCUGUCGUCAGCUCGUGUCGUG
rnacentral:rRNA from 1 species